ensembl:snRNA U6 U6 spliceosomal RNA
GUGCUCACUUCGGCAGCACACAUACUAAAAUUGGAAUGAUACAGAGAAGAUUAGCAUGGCCCCUGCUCAAGGAUGACAUGCAAAUUCAUAAAGCAUUCCAUAAAAAU